CCACGCUUGACGGGGUGUCGGUGAAUUCCGGCUGAGAUGGCGCAGGGGUAGGUCGAGCUCUCGACAACACCCAAGCACUGGUCCCGUUGAACCUGAUCCGGCUCGUACCGGCGUAGGAAUCAAGCGGUGGCCAGGC
rnacentral:ncRNA from 2 species